AAUAAAGCAUUCAAUUUUUUAUUUAUAGAGCGUUAAAAAAAUUAUUUAUGAAAUGCAAAAUAAGAAAAAUAUGGCUCAAAUUCCCAUGUUUGUUUAUGCUUUGAUCAUAUUUCUUUCUAUAUAUGGUUAUAAGAAGACUGAUAUUCCCUGUAAAUCUGUUAGUGAUUGUCCAGAACCAGCACAUAACCGUUUUGUUUGGCAGUGCAAUGAUAAGAAUUUGUGUGUGAGAUUCUAUUUGGAACAGUAGAAUAUAAUUUAAUAUGCAAAAAUUUGCUCUGAAAUGUUAGACUAUAGGAACAACAAAUUUGGAAUAAAAUAAGAUGUUUUGUAGUAUGAUUAAUGGUCUCAUUUUAAAUAAUAUGUAUGUUUGAGAUCUGUUCAAGUCUUAUAACACGAAAUACCUGUAUUUUUAUUUGCUUAAUCAUAUAAUUUAUAGUAUAAAUUUGUAUUGGUUAUUGAUUGAUUUCCUUAAAUAAUUUGGGAAAAUGGAAAACAACGGUAAACUUCAAAGCUCUA